AGAGUUUGAUCAUGGCUCAGAUUGAACGCUGGCGGUAGGCUUAACACAUGCAAGUCGUGCGAGAAAGUAUCUUCGGAUAUGAGUAGAGCGGCGGACGGGUGAGUAACGCGUAGGAAUCUACCUAGUAGAAGGGGAUAGCCCGGGGAAACCCGGAUUAAUACCGUAUACCUCCUUCGGGAGAAAGAAGGCCUCUCUUUGAAGCUUUCGCUAUUAGAUGAGCCUGCGUAAGAUUAGCUUGUUGGUGAGGUAAAGGCUCACCAAGGCGACGAUCUUUAGCUGGUCUGAGAGGACGAUCAGCCACAUUGGGACUGAGACACGGCCCAGACUCCUACGGGAGGCAGCAGUGGGGAAUAUUGGACAAUGGGCGCAAGCCUGAUCCAGCCAUACCGCGUGUGUGAAGAAGGCCUUCGGGUUGUAAAGCACUUUAAGCAGGGAGAAAAAGUUAUAAGUUAAUACCUUAUAACCGUGAUGUUACCUGCAGAAUAAGCACCGGCUAAUUCCGUGCCAGCAGCCGCGGUAAUACGGAAGGUGCAAGCGUUAAUCGGAAUUACUGGGCGUAAAGCGCGCGUAGGUGGUUUGUUAAGUUGGAUGUGAAAGCCCUGGGCUCAACCUAGGAACUGCAUCCAAAACUAACUCACUUGAGUACGAUAGAGGGAGGUAGAAUUCAUAGUGUAGCGGUGGAAUGCGUAGAUAUUAUGAAGAAUACCAGUGGCGAAGGCGGCCUCCUGGAUCUGUACUGACACUGAGGUGCGAAAGCGUGGGUAGCGAACAGGAUUAGAUACCCUGGUAGUCCACGCCGUAAACGAUG
rnacentral:rRNA from 1 species